AGGACGAACGCUGGCGGCGUGCUUAACACAUGCAAGUCGAGCGGAAAGGCCCUUCGGGGUACUCGAGCGGCGAACGGGUGAGUAACACGUGAGCAAUCUGCCCUUAGCUUCGGGAUAGCCCCGGGAAACCGGGAAUUAAUACCGGAUAUGACCUAGGCCGACAUCGGCUGUGGUGGAAAGUUUUUCGGCUGGGGAUGGACUCGCGGCCUAUCAGCUUGUUGGUGGGGUAAUGGCCUACCAAGGCGACGACGGGUAGCCGGCCUGAGAGGGCGACCGGCCACACUGGGACUGAGACACGGCCCAGACUCCUACGGGAGGCAGCAGUGGGGAAUCUUGCGCAAUGGGCGAAAGCCUGACGCAGCGACGCCGCGUGGGGGAUGAAGGCCUUCGGGUUGUAAACCCCUUUCAGCAGGGACGAAGCGAAAGUGACGGUACCUGCAGAAGGAGCGCCGGCUAACUACGCGCCAGCAGCCGC
rnacentral:rRNA from 1 species